UUUAUCCGAAUUCGAAUCCGAAACCGAAUUGAGCGGAUUUAUCCGAUACUAAAUGCAUAUGGUUUUGAAUAUAGCUAUCAAAAAUAAAACCCGACGAAUAUGGAUAUGGACAGUAUCUUAUCCGAACCCGAAUCGGCUAAACCCGAAUUUAUUUUACAUUAUAUAUAAUAUCUAUAUAAAAAUUUUAUGCUAUAUUUGAAUUUGUAUUUUAAAAAUUUAGAUUUAAU
rnacentral:lncRNA from 1 species